rnacentral:tRNA from 1 species
GGAUUGUGACUCAGUGGUAGAGCAAUUGCCUUGCAUGUGUGAGGCACUGGGUUCAAUUCUCAGCACCA